UACGAGUGCCCCAAGCGUUAUCCGGAAUUAUUGGGCGUAAAGGGUGUGUAUGUGGUUGUGUUAGUCUGGUGUCAAAUUCUUCGGCUUAACCGGGGUACCGCACUAGAAACGGCACAACUAGAGGAUGCGAGGGGUCUGUGGAACUCAUGGAGUAGGGGUGAAAUCCGUUGAUAUCAUGGGGAACACCGAAAGCGAAGGCAGCAGGCUGGCGCACUCCUGACACUGAAACACGAAAGCGUAGGUAGCGAAUGGG
rnacentral:rRNA from 1 species